rnacentral:rRNA from 1 species
GUCGAACGGCAGCGCGGGGCAACCUGGCGGCGAGUGGCGAACGGGUGAGUAAUAUAUCGGAACGUACCCAGAAGUGGGGGAUAACGUAGCGAAAGUUACGCUAAUACCGCAUACGAUCUACGGAUGAAAGUGGGGGACCUUCGGGCCUCAUGCUUUUGGAGCGGCCGAUAUCUGAUUAGCUAGUUGGUGAGGUAAAGGCUCACCAAGGCGACGAUCAGUAGCUGGUCUGAGAGGACGACCAGCCACACUGGGACUGAGACACGGCCCAGACUCCUACGGGAGGCAGCAGUGGGGAAUUUUGGACAAUGGGCGCAAGCCUGAUCCAGCAAUGCCGCGUGAGUGAAGAAGGCCUUCGGGUUGUAAAGCUCUUUUGUCAGGGAAGAAACGGCUGAGGUUAAUACCUUCGGCUAAUGACGGUACCUGAAGAAUAAGCACCGGCUAACUACGUGCCAGCAGCCGCGGUAAUACGUAGGGUGCAAGCGUUAAUCGGAAUUACUGGGCGUAAAGCGUGCGCAGGCGGUUUUGUAAGUCUGUCGUGAAAGCCCCGGGCUCAACCUGGGAAUUGCGAUGGAGACUGCAAGGCUUGAAUCUGGCAGAGGGGGGUAGAAUUCCACGUGUAGCGGUGAAAAUGCGUAAAA